rnacentral:lncRNA from 1 species
CAGAACUUUUAAAACAAAAUCCCCAUAUGUGGCUGGGCGCGGUGGCUCGUGCCUGUAAUCCCAGCACUUUGGGAGGCUGAGGCGGGCAGAUAACCUGAGGUUGGGAGUUUGAGACCAGCCUGACCAACAUGGAGAAACACAUCUCUACUAAAAACACAAAAUUAGCUGUGCAUGGUGGCACAUACCUGUAAUUCCAGCUACUCGGGAGGCUGAGACAGGAGAAUCACUUGAACCUGGGAGGCAGCAGUUGUGGUGAGCUGAGAUUGCACCACUGCACUUCAGCCUGGGAAGCAAGGGUGAAACUCCAUCUCAAACAACAACAACAACAACAACAACAACAACAACAGCAGCAGCAGCAACAACCACCACAAAACCCAAAUGCAUUUCCUUGGCACAGUAAAACUGAAACAGAAAAAGUAACAAGCCUUACCAGUGGCUUCAGAGGAAGAGCAAGAAAGGCAUGAAAGAAGUGAAAAGAAGCAACCACAGGUCAAAGAAGGAAAUAAUACAAACAAAAGUGAAAAAAUACAACUUUCAGAAAAUAUAUGUGAUAGUACAUCUUCUGCUGCUGCUGGCAGAUUAACCCAACAAAGAAAGAUUGGGAAAACGUAUCCUCAGCAAUUUCCCAAGAAGCUGAAGGAAGAGCAUGAUAAAUGCACCUUAAAACAAGAAAAUGAAGAAAAAACAAAUGUUAAUAUGCUGUACAAAAAAAAUAGAGAAGAAUUAGAAAGGAAAGAGAAACAAUAUAAGAAAGAAGUUGAAGCAAAACAACUUGAACCAACUGUUCAGUCACUAGAGAUGAAAUCAAAGACUGCAAGAAAUACUCC